rnacentral:sRNA from 1 species
GUUGGGUAUGGUGGCCUGUGCCUGUAGUCUCAGAUACUUGGGAGGCUGAGGCAGGAGAAUUGCUUGAGCCCAGGAGUUUGAGGCUGCAGUGUUAUGAUCAUGCUAUUGCACUCCAGCUUGGGCAACAGAGCAAGACCCUGUCUCUA